rnacentral:rRNA from 1 species
UGGGGAAUUUUGGACAAUGGGCGAAAGCCUGAUCCAGCAAUGCCGCGUGUGUGAAGAAGGCCUUCGGGUUGUAAAGCACUUUUGUCCGGAAAGAAAUCCUUGGCUCUAAUACAGUCGGGGGAUGACGGUACCGGAAGAAUAAGCACCGGCUAACUACGUGCCAGCAGCCGCGGUAAUACGUAGGGUGCAAGCGUUAAUCGGAAUUACUGGGCGUAAAGCGUGCGCAGGCGGUUUGCUAAGAUCGAUGUGAAAUCCCCGGGCUCAACCUGGGAACUGCAUUGGUGACUGGCAGGCUAGAGUAUGGCAGAGGGGGGUAGAAUUCCACGUGUAGCAGUGAAAUGCGUAGAGAUGUGGAGGAAUACCGAUGGCGAAGGCAGCCCCCUGGGCCAAUACUGACGCUCAUGCACGAAAGCGUGGGGAGCAAACAGGAUUAGAUACCCUGGUAGUCCACGCCCUAAAACGAUGUCAACUAGUUGUUGGGGAUUCAUUUCCUUAGUAACGUAGCUAACGCGUGAAGUUGACCGCCUGGGGAGUACGGUCGCAAGAUUAAAACUUAAAGGAAUUGACGGGGUCAUAGCUGUUUCCU